AGCCAUGCAUGUCUAAGUAUAAGCAACUUGUACUGUGAAACUGCGAAUGGCUCAUUAAAUCAGUUAUCGUUUAUUUGAUAGUACCUUACUACAUGGAUACCUGUGGUAAUUCUAGAGCUAAUACAUGCUAAAAACCCCGACUUCAGGAAGGGGUGUAUUUAUUAGAUAAAAAACCAACGCCCUUCGGGGCUCCUUGGUGAAUCAUAAUAACUUAACGAAUCGCAUGGCCUUGCGCCGGCGAUGGUUCAUUCAAAUUUCUGCCCUAUCAACUUUCGAUGGUAGGAUAGUGGCCUACCAUGGUGGCAACGGGUAACGGGGAAUUAGGGUUCGAUUCCGGAGAGGGAGCCUGAGAAACGGCUACCACAUCCAAGGAAGGCAGCAGGCGCGCAAAUUACCCAAUCCCGAUACGGGGAGGUAGUGACAAUAAAUACUGAUACGGGGCUCUUUUGGGUCUCGUAAUUGGAAUGAGAACAAUUUAAAUCCCUUAACGAGGAACAAUUGGAGGGCAAGUCUGGUGCCAGCAGCCGCGGUAAUUCCAGCUCCAAUAGCGUAUAUUAAAGUUGUUGCAGUUAAAAAGCUCGUAGUUGAACCUUGGGUCUGGCUGGGCCGGUCCGCCUCACCGCGAGUACUGGUCCGGCUGGACCUUUCCUUCUGGGGAACCUCAUGGUCUUCACUGGCUGUGGGGGGGAACCAGGACUUUUACUGUGAAAAAUUAGAGUGUUCAAAGCAGCCUUUGCUCGAAUACAUUAGCAUGGAAUAAUAGAAUAGGACGUGUGGUUCUAUUUUUGUUGGCUUUCUAGGACCGCCGUAAUGAUUAAUACGAUAGUCCGGGGCGUCAGUAU
rnacentral:rRNA from 1 species